AGAGAGAGACAUGCGCGCAUAUCAAUAAGCGGAGGAAAAGAAACUAACAAGGAUUCCCUUAGUAACGGCGAGUGAAGCGGGAAGAGCUCAAAUUUGAAAUCUUCAAGGUUUUACCUUGACGAAUUGUAGUUUAAAGAAGUGUUUUCUGCUGAAGUUUUGGUAAAAGUUCUUUGGAAUAGGACAUCAUAGAGGGUGAGAAUCCCGUAUUUGACCAUUAUUUUCAGCUUUGUGAUACACUUUCAAAGAGUCGGAUUGUUUGGGAAUGCAGUCCAAAAUGGGUGGUAAAUCUCAUCUAAAGCUAAAUACUGGCGAGAGACCGAUAGCGAACAAGUACCGUGAGGGAAAGAUGAAAAGAACUUUGAAAAGAGAGUUAAACAGUACGUGAAAUUGUCAAAAGGGAAGCGUUUGACACCAGUGUUGUUUUCUCGAAAAUCAAUUAAAAAUGGCUCGAUUUUGUAUUGCUUGAGACCUUAAAAGCUCACUGUACAUUUUUCGUGUCUUUUUUAAUGCACUUUUCGUUUAACAAGUCAACAUCAGUUUCUUUUGUUGUAAAAGGGUCAUUGGAAGGUGGCUUUCUUUUCGGAGAAAGUGUUUAUAGCCUUUGGCCUCUGCAAUCGAAGAGACUGAGGUCUGCAGCGUAGACUCUUCGGGGUUAGAUACAUUUGUGCUAAGUUAUAGCUUUUUAUAGACAACUUGUUGACUAUAAUUAGUCUUGUAGCUUACUCGCUUAUGCUAUUUUACCUACGCUUAGGAUGUUGAAGAUGUAGCACAUCAU
rnacentral:rRNA from 1 species